GGCCCUUCUGGCAUUGCGCCUCAAUUUCCCAGAGUACAUCGCUUCUUGUGCAUCCACCAUAUUGCCUUCGCCUGAACGCACUGGCUGGAUCAGCUCGUAUCCACAACUGAAAAUUUUUGCAGUGAUGACUCAGACAGUUCAGACCAACGGGGUUCAACCCCUCAGUAAGACCUGGGAACUGAGUCUGUAUGAGCUACAGAGAACUCCACAGGAAGCUAUAACAGAUGGACUGGAGAUAGCAGUGUCGCCCAGGUCCUUGCACAGCGAACUAAUGUGUCCGAUCUGUCUGGACAUGCUGAAGAACACAAUGACAACUAAAGAAUGUCUGCACCGCUUCUGCGCUGAUUGUAUUAUCACAGCUUUGAGAUCUGGUAAUAAAGAGUGUCCUACGUGUCGUAAGAAGCUGGUAUCUAAGAGGUCGUUGCGCCCAGACCCGAAUUUUGAUGCUCUGAUUAGUAAGAUUUAUCCCAGCCGUGAUGAGUACGAAGCCCACCAGGAGAGAGUGUUGGCCCGCAUUAGCAAACACAACAACCAGCAAGCCCUGUCCCACAGCAUAGAGGAGGGACUGAAGAUACAGGCUAUGACCAGACUGCAGCGUGGUAAGAGACACACAGUGGAGAACGGUAGCGGAGCUGAAGACAACGGGGACUCCUCCCACUGUAGCAACGCUUCCGUCCACAGCAACCAGGAGGCAGGUCCGAGCAUCAAACGUACCAAGACAAGUGAUGACAGCGGUUUGGACAUGGAUAAUGCUGCUGAGAAUGGGGGUGGGGACUCUGUGAUUGAUGGUGGUGCAAGUGAAAUAGAACUGGUGUUUAGGCCACAUCCCACCCUGAUGGAGAAAGAUGACGGUCAUAACAGUGUGGAGUUUGUCCCUCGCUACAUUAAGACGUCCGGUAACGCUACAGUGGAUCACCUGUCUAAAUACUUGGCUGUCAGAUUGGCUCUGGAGGAGCUGAGAAGAAACGCUGAGGCUAGUCCUGUUAAUGUGGAGGCAGCUUCAGAGAAACAGUAUACCAUCUACAUACCCACUGCUGGAAACCAGUUCACCGUUCUGAAUGGUUCCUUCUCUCUGGAGCUGGUCAGCGAAAAGUACUGGAAGGUGAACAAACCCAUGGAGCUCUACUUUGCCCCUACUAAAGAACACAAGUAGACAUAAAAAACACACGCAUGCAUACACACAUACACAUACAUGCUCACCAGUAGGAAGUAAACAGAUGGACUUGGCUACACCUGCACACACAGAAAACAAGAGGAGAGGAAUGUGUGUGUCUGAAGGAGAUUAGGGGGGUUAGUGAAACCCUCAAAAGGACUCUUAUAAAGAGAAAAAAACUUGUUUUAUAUUCUCUGUAUCUUUCUGUGUCUCUUUCUAUCUUUCUCUCAGUAGAAGUUAGUAGAUCAGUACAGCAGCUAGCAGGUAAAUAACAGAUAAUGGACUGCUAACAGUGACUGUAGAUUCUCUCCAAUUCAGAAAACCAGGGUCCAUUCACAGUCUGAAUUAGCAUGUGCUGUUUUCCAAGUAAAGAAAUUGUAUUAUACUGUAUUUGUCUUCAGCAAAGGCCCCUUUUAUACUUUGUGAUUCUGGUCUGCCCCAGACUGAAGUUGAAUGGUUGGGAGAGAAAUGUGUUGAGAUCUUUGGUUGUUAGUCCAAAACCGUCGGUCCUAGAUUUCACUGAGAGACAUGCCCACCGACAGUUGACUUUAGAGACCAAGACUGCCUGUGUCAAGAUUCUGAUAUGCUGGUCUGAAUUUAAGGACCACAUUGUUAAGAUGGGACUUCUGCUACAACCCACGUCUACAAAAUAACAAUCAGAAAACAGCAUAAAAUUAUGAUGCAUACACAGGCUAAUGCCAACACUGUAAAUGCCAGUAGACACGUACAUAUAAACCACAUGGGUGUGUGCCUUUCAACUGCACAUGCCCAUGAAAGAGGAAUCUGACAUGUAUAGAAGCAAAGAUGGGCCAUAAUAAUUUGAAUCUAAUAGUCAACUGAAAACUUAAUUUUGAAAUUUUAACACUACUGAAUACUUCAUGUUGACCUUAAAAUAUCACUGAAUUUGGAGCAUUGAAAUAUUAUACCUUGAAAACCAUAAAUCUUGAAUUCAUGUGGUUUGAAUUCCCCUCUUUGAAAUUUUCAGAUCAUUUCAAGUUUUUGCAAUUUUAAAAACUACAUUUUUUUUUCCUCAGAAAUUCAGUCUGUGGUUUGUAUUUGCUCAUCUGAAAAAGUCUUUCUUGGAUCACAUGUCUGGCAGAAUGGAUUAUUCAGGCUCGACUGAUUAUCCUUGCUACCCUGAAUUUUUAAGUUUAAAAAUUUCAUCAUGAAUUUUGUUGUCUGAAUUUCACCAAUUCAAUCUAAAAAGAACUGAGUCUAAACCCUUUUAAUACACUUGUUUUUGGAUAUUAGAUGCAUUGCAUUUCAGUCUGAAUUUGUGAAGACAGAAGUUUUCGAAUUUGCACAACUUGAAAUGAUCUACUUGACAUUGGCCAGAAGGGAAUUCCACUUACAUGAAUUCAGACAUAUUUAAAUGUCCAACAUUAACCAAUCAGUUGUGGUUAAAAGUUCUCUGUAGGGUUUUUGACCUCUACUAGAAACUAUGGAGCUUUUUUUUUUUUUUUUUUUUUUUUUAAAGAGUGAGUUUUGUUUAUUUUGUGCCACACUAUUCUACUGAUCUACAGGGGGCUGUAAUAUACCAAGAAGCAGCAAUGCAGUACCGAAGUCCAGGAGAAAACUGCUGGCAAGUAAACAUGGAUGGGAGGCUGCUCUCUGGAAACUGAAUCACUGUAACAGGAAACAAAAGAACAUCAAUUGAACUCUGGUGACUCUUUGAACGCAAUGAUAAUGAUCAAUUAGCAAGGUUUGUAAAGAAUGGUUGGGGACUUAAGUGUAUAACAGCAACUUUUUCUCAGACUGAAUUGGAAACCCUGGACUGUGAGGUAGAAUCUCAUAGCUGUUGUCUUGAUCUGUUGCCUGUAGGAACAAACUGUCCUCUAUUAUCUGUGGCUGCUCUCUAUGGUGUGUCCUUUUAUAAAUGUCUUUUGUAACAUAGAGAAGAAGUGUGUGUGUGUGUGUGUGUGUGUGUGUGUGUGUGUGUGAUUGAAGCAGGGUGGGGUAUUUUUGCAGAAACAUAGAAAGUCAGACCAUUACAGUAUUGACUAUGGGGUCUAUUAUUUGAACAAACCUAUUCCCUUUCCUCUUGUAUCACCAAUGACUCACCAGUGGAACGUAAUUGGUUAUUGUCUCACCAUCACAUCUUUUAAGACAUGGCACCAACAUUACAUCACAGAACACAUUUGGGUACAGGUGUUUUUGUUGUGUUUCAGUAUGAGGACAGACACACAGGGAGGGUUUAGUUAAAUGUUGUAAUACAGUUUUGUUUCAUUGUCCAUGUAUCUGAUGGAGGGGUCUUAAUGUUCCACAGGGAUAGAAAGCCCAGAAAAUUUAAGGGUGUGAGAGCAAGAGUGAGUGAAUGUGAAGCCAAACAUGUUUGUGCUAUAAAUAUCACAAUAUUAUAACAUCUUUUAUUGUGCACCCGAUUUGGUACAUUGUCCCGCUCACAAGGAACCCGAUUAGACAAACCACAAUCACUACAUUUAUAGGUGUUUCAACCAUGAUGUUGCUCUGCUUAACUGGCCUUGCUGUUUGUGGGAAGGGUGAUGUACCAGUUUGUAAGGAAUAAAAGUUUUUUUUUUUUUACCAUGGCAGAGAAAUGUAAAGUUUGUCUGUAUGAAGCUCCAUACAUGAGUAUUGCAAAGAGGAUGCAAGUUAAUGUUAAAUGUGGCCUGUAUGCACUGCCAUGGUUGCUGCUAACGACCACUAGGGGGCAGAUACACUAAUCAUGAGUGACUGAAUGAAUUUGAGUGUGUUGGUGCAUCCCCAUCUAAAAUGUGGCCUUGGCAGCCCAUAUUUGGUGUGGAACAAACCAUCAGUACAGCCUGUUAGGGCCUGUCAAAUUUGAUGUUUUUAGGUUAGAAGCAGCAUUUAUUGUUUCAUGAAGAGAUGGGAACCUUUUCCUUUCUUGCAUUAGACACUGUUUGAUAUUUUGUAUUGCGGUUCACAUGUAACUCGUUUGUUUGAUCCAGGAGUCAUAACACUUGCAGCUUAUUACAUGAGGGCCAGUGUUAACUGACAGUUUCAGUAGUAAUGAAAAGAACCAGGAUUAAGCGUCAAUAUGUGAUCUGAUAAUCUGAGCGCAGUAUUGUCAAACUCUUGGAUAAAUAUUUAAUGACAUUAAAAAAGAAUGCAGCUAUUUUAUGAUUUCACUGUAUUGACAUUAAUUCAGGACAGUUCAGUCAAUAUUUUGUGAGAAUGUACUUCAGUUUCCUAAACCUAGAAAAAACCACUACCCUUCACUUGUGCACUGCUCAUUAUACUCUAUUAUUUCUGUUAAUUUGACAAAAAAAAAAAAAAAAAAAAUCACCUUAACUUGGCCAGGUCCACUCAAUAGCUUUUUGCAAAGCUUUCAGUCAAAUCUCAUGAUCUUGAUCAGCAGACAAAUUUAGCUCAGUUAUCACAAGGAUGGCUGGUCUCUAGUAAAAAAAAAAAAAAAAAAAAA